CCUACGGGAGGCAGCAGUGGGGAAUAUUGCACAAUGGGGGAAACCCUGAUGCAGCGACGCCGCGUGAGUGAAGAAGUAUUUCGGUUUGUAAACUUCUUUUAGCAGGAACGAGACAAAACGGUACCUGCCUAAAAAGCCCCGGCUAACUACGGGCCAGCAGCCGCGGUAAUACGUAGGGGGCAAGCGUUAUCCGGAAUCACUGGGUGGAAAGGGGGCGUAGACGGCAGAGCAAGCCAGAAGUGAAAGGCGGGGGCCCAACCCCUGAACUGCAUUGGAAACUGUACGGUUGGAGUACGGGAGAGGUAAGUGGAAUUCCUGGUGUAGCGGUGAAAUGCGUAGAUAUUAGGAGGAACACCAGUGGCGAAGGCGGCUUACUGGACUGUAACUGACGUUGAGGCUCGAAAGCGUGGGGAGCAAACAGGAUUAGAUACCCGGGUAGUC
rnacentral:rRNA from 1 species